rnacentral:rRNA from 1 species
UGGGGAAUAUUGCACAAUGGGCGCAAGCCUGAUGCAGCCAUGCCGCGUGUGUGAAGAAGGCCUUCGGGUUGUAAAGCACUUUCAGCGGGGAGGAAGGCGUUAAGGUUAAUAACCUUGGCGAUUGACGUUACCCGCAGAAGAAGCACCGGCUAACUCCGUGCCAGCAGCCGCGGUAAUACGGAGGGUGCAAGCGUUAAUCGGAAUUACUGGGCGUAAAGCGCACGCAGGCGGUCUGUCAAGUCGGAUGUGAAAUCCCCGGGCUCAACCUGGGAACUGCAUUCGAAACUGGCAGGCUAGAGUCUUGUAGAGGGGGGUAGAAUUCCAGGUGUAGCGGUGAAAUGCGUAGAGAUCUGGAGGAAUACCGGUGGCGAAGGCGGCCCCCUGGACAAAGACUGACGCUCAGGUGCGAAAGCGUGGGGUGCAAACAGG